CAGGCCAUUCGCAUUGAUGAAAUUAUUCAGGAUCACAUAAGUCCUGUUGCUAAGGUAAUGCUGGAUACAUGGUUGAAUCUGUGUGCUUGUACUGAGAGAAGAUUGACAGAUGAUGAAAGUAAAGAUCUGGCUAAGAGGGAUCAAAUAAUUAAGAAUAAGACUAUCGAGAUAGAUCUUGAAUCAAGCUUCCCUAGGCUUUUCGGGCAACAAGUAGCUAACCAGGUUUUAGGAGUACUAAGGGAAAUCUAUAACAGUUGAAUUUCUUG
rnacentral:misc_RNA from 1 species